rnacentral:misc_RNA from 1 species
AACUUUCGGCAACGGAUCACUUGGCUCUCGCAUCGAUGAAGAACGCAGCGAAAUGCGAUAAGUAAUGUGACUUGCAGAAUUCAGUGAAUCAUCGAAUCUUUCAACGCACAUUGUGCUGCUUGGUAUUCCGAGGAGCAUGCCUGUUUGAGUGUCAUUAAUAUAUAUAUAUCAAACUUCUCUUGUUGAUUGGUUUGGAUGUGGGGGGUUUGCUGGCCUUUUUAAAAAGUUCAGCUCCUCUGAAAUGCAUUAGCAGAACAAACCUUGUUCAUUGGUGUGAUAACUAUCUACGCUAUUGAAUGUGAGGGGCAGUUCAGCUUUCUAACAGUCCGCGGACAAUUCAAUCAUUAAUGUGACCUCAAAUCAGGUAGGACUACCCGCUGAACUUAAGCAUAUCAAUAAGCGGAGGCU